GCGCACCAGGCGCGAAACCUCCGCAAUGCGGGAAACCGUGACGGGGUCACCCCGAGUGCCACCCGAUGAGGGUGGCUUUUCCCCGGUCUAAAAAGCCGGGGGCAAUAAGCGGGGGGCAAGUCUGGUGUCAGCCGCCGCGGUAAUACCAGCCCCGCGAGUGGUCGGGACGUUUAUUGGGCCUAAAGCGUCCGUAGCCGGCUCGGUAAGUCCCUCCUUAAAUCCACGGGCUCAACCCGUGGGCUGGGAGGGAUACUGCCGGGCUAGGGGGCGGGAGAGGCCGAGGGUACUCCCGGGGUAGGGGCGAAAUCCGUUAAUCCCGGGAGGACCACCAGUGGCGAAGGCGCUCGGCUGGAACGCGCCCGACGGUGAGGGACGAAAGCUGGGGGAGCAAAGGGGAUUAGAUACCCCUGUAGU
rnacentral:rRNA from 1 species